GAUGAAGAACGUAGCGAAAUGCGAUAAGUAAUGUGAAUUGCAGAAUUCCGUGAAUCAUCGAAUCUUUGAACGCACAUUGCGCCCUCUGGUAUUCCGGGGGGCAUGCCUGUCCGAGCGUCAUUGCUGCCCUCAAGCACGGCUUGUGUGUUGGGCCCCGCCCCCCGAUCCCGGGGGGCGGGCCCGAAAGGCAGCGGCGGCACCGCGUCCGGUCCUCGAGCGUAUGGGGCUUUGUCACCCGCUCUGUAGGCCCGGCCGGCGCUUGCCGAUCAACCAAACUUUUUUCCAGGUUGACCUCGGAUCAGGUAGGGAUACCCGCUGAACUUAAGCAUAUCAAUAAGCGGAGGA
rnacentral:misc_RNA from 1 species